UCGUGUGCAAACAUACUGCAAAAUAAUUACAGUUUUUUCUGUGAUAGCGACUCGUGUCUUGUGUUUGAGAUAGAGUUGUGUGGUGUUUUUGAAAAGUAAACCCGUACUUUUGUAAAAUAGUAAAAAUGGCCGGCAAAAACCGAUAUUGUGAAAUAUGCGGUGUCCGAGAAAUCAAUCGAGGAGGAUUCUUUGCCAGAUUUCCCAAGGAUGAACAGCGGUGUAUAACUUGGGUUAGACAAGCUGGACUGGAAAAGAAGAUCUCGUUCAUUUACCCAUAGAAAAGUUGCAGGAGAUUUGUCACGUUUGUGGCGAUAAUUAUGAACGGAAAGACUUUGGCAAGACAAGAAAUAAGCUAAAUGUCGAGCCAUGCUGUGUCGAAGUUACAAUUGUGUCAAAAUAGGCUAAACGGGGGAUAUUCCUGCAAACCAGAUUCAAAUCAGAUCUACACAUGCCAGAGUACCUCUGUCAACAUCAAACAGUGAAAAUGCACAAACUUCAGCUGCUGCAUCUACGAGUACAGGCCAAGCUUGUCUGCAAUCUGGAAUAAGCAUUCGACCGGAUAAAGCGUCAAUACCAGCGAAACGCCCCCGCUUUGCUGACGAACAAUCUGGCGGAUCUAGGGAUACUCUAGUUCUUGCUUCUGAUAAUCGAAAAACGCAGCGAGCAAAUCAAUAGACUAUAGAUUACAAUACAACGAAGAAAGAAUUGCUGAAGAAGCUCAACCUGAAAUGAAAUCGAGUUUACUUUAUUAACCUUUUGCCUAAGGUAACUUAGGACUUAAACCAGAUAAAUUGUUUUUUAAAUCCAUCUUUAAAACAUGGUAUCAAAGAGAAUUUUAA